rnacentral:lncRNA from 1 species
UUGCAAUCACCUUCCCUGAGAGGCCUGGCGGAGGGGGUUCCAAGGUCAUCGGGUGAAGGGAACAGCUAACUGCCCUGGGGAACCGAUGGGCCUGGGAGAGAUUUCUGCUCAGGAAAACAGGGUACAUGUCACGCGUCUCACCUCACUUCUGCCUUCCUGAGUCCAGGUUUGGGUUCCCAUAGCCUUCUGCUCCAGAACGCAAAGGCCCAGAAGAGUCUGAAUGCCUGUCGUAGGUCACGUGGGAAGUCUGAGGGCCGAGGAGAGGGUCCUUUCUUUGCACGCGCAAGGAGCCGCCCAACAGGGUUCAGGUUGAGCGGUGACGCCAAAGCUGAAAUGGGGCACAUGAGGCAACAGAGGAGCGCCCUGAGAACGCUGGCGCUUCCAUGGGGCCACCCCUGCCCUCACCCCCAAUGCAAGGGCCAGGAUAUCUGGGGGAAGACGUGGAGAAGCAGGGGAGCCCCCAUUCUUGGCAGACCCACAGGAGGCAGAUCUGGGGACAGAAGAAGGGGAGGUGCCUCUCAGAGAGCCCCUCACCAGCUCCCCCUGCUCCCGAGGCCACCACAAGAGGCCCAGCUGGAAGCCAACCAAGUCCGUCCCUUCCAGCCAACUCCCCCCGGCCCCAGUGUCUCUGGGACGCUGACAGAAAGGAUCCCGCGGAGCAGGACUUUGCACCUGCAGCCCCAGCGGCAUGAGAAGAAACCAGUCCGUGUCUGCAAGUCUUCUCGAAAGACACGACCGUGUGACUGCAAGGGGACUCCAAAGUCGUGCUGUAGGUGAGGCCGGGGAGGCCCAGGGAGGUCACGUGACCUGCCAAAGGCCGUGCAGUGAUUGGUCAGGGGAGCCCAGGUGAGGAUCCAGUUCUUGCGUCAUUAGCCCACGCCCCUCCUUUUGAUUCUCCACCUUUUCUCAGGGCCCUGCCACCAGGAGACCCCCAGCAUGAAGGGUAGGUGGGCCAGUUGCCCUGGAAUGAGCAGUUCUACCCCGUGUGGGAGUAGGGUCGGGAGUAGAAACAGCUGCCGAGGAAGGCAAACCACAGCCUGCGUCCCUGGGGGGAGGGGCUCUCUAGAACCUGCGGUGCCCGCAGGGGGGGAGCGUUCCCAGUGGUCCCCGGAGCAGCUCUAAAUCCACGGAGCCUGCACUUGUCUCUGCCCUUGUCCUUCCCUGCACUCUGCUAAGUAAACAAACACAGCACUCCGGCAGCUCUCUGCUGGCAAACACCCCUACUUAGCAACUGCUUCUAGAAUAAAUAAACA